rnacentral:rRNA from 1 species
GACGUAGGGGGCCAGCGUUGUUCGGAAUUACUGGGUGUAAAGGGUUCGUAGGCGGUGCGGCAAGUUGGGAGUGAAAUCUCUGGGCUUAACCCCAGAGGCUGCUUCCAAAACUGCUGUGCUUGAGUGUGGGAGAGGCGCGUGGAAUUGCAGGUGUAGCGGUGAAAUGCGUAGAUAUCUGCAGGAACACCCGUGGCGAAAGCGGCGCGCUGGACCACUACUGACGCUGAGGAACGAAAGCUAGGGGAGCAAACAGG